rnacentral:rRNA from 1 species
ACAGAAUUGUGAUCUCAAAGAACUUGCAUAUUAUUAUAAAUAAAAAAUAUAACAUUUUUGGUUUUUUUUAUAAUAUGACAUUUUACCCAUUGGGGGGGUGUUAAAACCCUAUUCGUGAGUAUUUGCACUCGAAAGGGCUAUGAUUGUGGUGAAUAAUCAGACAUAGUACGAUAAGGUUGUAUGUCUAAAGGGAAACAGCCCAGAACAAGAGUUAAUAAGGUUCCAAAAUUAUUGUUAAGUGAAAAUAAGGUAGUGUUUAUCUUAUUCGACUAGGAAAUAGGCUUGGAAGCUGCCAUUUUUUGAAGAUCUCGUAAAAGAGCACUAGUUUGUUAAAUGGAUAAUUGCACCAAAAAUUUAACGGAUCUAAACAAUAUACCGAUGCCUUGUACAUAAAUAGUUAUAUAUCUUAGUUAUAUAUAAUAUAUAUGGGGUAGCAGAACGUAGGGCAAAUAUUAGAUUAUUUCUUUUUAAGAACUAAAAUUAUAUUACCCUAGUGAUAAUGCUGACAUGAGUAACGAUAAAGGGAUUAUUCCCUCGCCUAAAGCUUAUGGAAUUCUAUUAAAGUAUCGGCCUCUAAGUUUAUUAUAAUCCUAAAGGACUAAACGAUGAGAAAUUCUUAAUGUUUAUAUAAAUAACCUUUAGUGUAAAAAAAAAUUGUAUAUGUUGUAUAUGUUUGGCGCAAUCCCAGAUGUAUAGACAUGUAAAAUUUUUUUGACAAAGAAGUGACGAAGGUUCUGGAAAAUAUUAUAUUAAAUAACCGUACCUAGAAACUACCCCAAGUAAGUUAGUAGAGAAUACGAAGGCGUUUGAGUGAACAAUCAUUAAGACUG